GGUAUCGUAUACUGCAUUUAGCUCGUUCUAUUCUCAUUCAUUUCGUUUCAAACUCGCGACUAUGAAGCAUGGUUGCUCAGAAACUUUGGUCGACAGCAGCGUGGUGUAUUCAUUGCAAUCGUAUAUAAGCUGAACGUUUACUUCGCACCUUUAUAAUGGCGAUAAUAAAGCUUCUUCAGUUUGAGUGGCUUGCACCAAUACUGGAAAAUGUUUACUGCAAAAUUUGUUCUUAACCACGUUAAAAUUGUAGCGAAUAUCUCCGAUAAUUAAUUUCUACAUGAAUAUGUUUGCGAACGAUGGAACUUUUACAGACUGCGACAGCAGAAAAACCAUUAGAGUUUUUACAGUAUAUGACCAGAAAAUUGGUUGACUGAUAGAAUACAUUAGAUUGAAUUGAUACUACAAUGUUUUUGAGUUAAAAUAAGAAAGAUUGAUGAUUCACAAUCUACAAUAAUGUAUGGAAGUUAUGGAAGUACCGUAAUAAGAGCAUGGAAGAAAGAAAAAGAAUCAAAGAGUAGAGAAUAUAAAGUUCGUCGUGAACUAAAUUAAGAUUAAAGAAAUAUAUUUUGCAUCUUGCGUUUGGGGAUUGCAUCUGGAUUACAAUAUUAUUUGAGAUUAAAUCAUUGAAAAGGGUUACGACAACAUUUUUUAUUCUAAAAGUAAUGUUCUCAAGAUUCAAAGAAAUUAUACAAAUUCAGUGCAGAACCAUGCUAAGACAUACGUAAUAUUGAAGCUGUCAUCUCAAUUGUACGAGUAUUAAUAAUAUACAAGAAGCCACAAAGCACAGUAUGUGGGAUUGUAUGCAGAAAAACAGUGCAUAGAAAAUCAUCAGUUAAUUUUAAUGCUGUUAGUAGAAGAGUGCGUAGAUCUUUGUAAAAAGAGAUACUAUUUGAUGAAAUAAAAUAUUAAACAUGAAAGAUGCUAUUACAUACAAGAUGUUUAUCGUAAUGUUACACGUAGAAGGAAUAUAAAUGGAAAAAUACUCUAAAUUGGAAAAACACAAACUAAAUCGACAAGGACGUCACUAGUACCUACGUUAAUUAUACUGUGAUGCAACGAUUACCGCCAAAUUUAACACUAAUUAAAGUGGAUUAUGAUUAUUAUUAAUUCAUUUUAUAUAAUUUUUGUAAAAAAUUAUUAUAUAGUUUAUUUUAUGCGCGUAAUAACUUUAAUUAUAUAAAUAAUAAUACAGAUCUAAUAAAAACUUUGCAUUUUAAUCAAUCAUACUGUUCAGUAUAAUAUAUACCACAUUUUGUAUUCAAUUAUAUAUAAUUCCUAAUAAAAUCUUUCUCCUGUGUGUAUUAUA